rnacentral:rRNA from 1 species
GAUGAACGCUGGCGGCGUGCCUAAUACAUGCAAGUCGAGCGAACGGAUGAGAAGCUUGCUUCUCUGAUGUUAGCGGCGGACGGGUGAGUAACACGUGGAUAACCUACCUAUAAGACUGGGAUAACUUCGGGAAACCGGAUCUAAUACCGGAUAAUAUUUUGAACCGCAUGGUUCAAAAGUGAAAGACGGUCUUGCUGUCACUUAUAGAUGGAUCCGCGCUGCAUUAGCUAGUUGGUAAGGUAACGGCUUACCAAGGCAACGAUGCAUAGCCGACCUGAGAGGGGGAUCGGCCACACUGGAACUGAGACACGGUCCAGACUCCUACGGGAGGCAGCAGUAGGGAAUCUUCCGCAAUGGGCGAAAGCCUGACGGAGCAACGCCGCGUGAGUGAUGAAGGUCUUCGGAUCGUAAAACUCUGUUAUUAGGGAAGAACAUAUGUGUAAGUAACUGUGCACAUCUUGACGGUACCUAAUCAGAAAGCCACGGCUAACUACGUG